UUCUGUCUUGGUGCAUCCGUUAAUAUGCAUUUAAAAUCGAUACGACGACUUGCCAGUCCAAUGAAAAGAUGUCUAUGCUUCGGAAAUGGAACACGAUUGCCAACUUGUUCACUUCCUAGUAGAACAGUUAAUAAACGUAUAACCUUGAUGGAAAUUAUUCCCAUUACUCAAUCUCUUAUUGCCACUCACGCAUCCUGUGGACUAAUAAACCGAACACUUCUAAUUCGCUUCAAGAACAAACAACACAAUCCACAUUGGUCGUCCAGUUUCUUCCUUUCCACGAGUGGCACAUUAGAAAGCGUCUGCCAUCGGUUUUCACGCAAAGCAAAGAACGUGUGGCCGAUGCCUCUCGUCCUUUAUGGCGAGAUCGUUUAGCGGGCCACGCUACGGAUCCGAUAACUGCGCGCGCAGCAACCGCAAAUUACGAACGUAGCUGAACUUUACGAGCACCAGGGAAUUGAUGCUGACUUUUCUAAUAAAUGAAAUUCAACAUUUUAUGGCAUCAACCAAAUAAGCAGUGAGAUGUUUUGCGUCGAUGAAAGCAUCGAUACGUCGUUGAAAGUUAAAUAGAUACGUGGUUAUGUUUAAGAUUGCCUGGCCGCCUGAAAUCGAAUAGAUUGAUGGGGUCAAAAGAGAAAUGCUUUUCUCUCUGAACCUGCCUAAUGGCUUUCCUUAAUGCCAUGCUUUUC